UUCGAAAUCUCUCUUUCCAAAAAAGAAAAAAGAAAAGAAAAGGAAAGAAAAAAAAGUUCUAUUUUGGUUCUUUUUAUUGUUUAAGAGUGUUCAACAACCAAGAUCCAUCGUCAAUUUAGUCUUUAAUGGCUUCAAAGAAUCAGAUGGUCAUGAUCUAUCAAUGCUAAUAGAUUCUCAACUUUCGAAAUUUGUUCCUUUACUACUAUUAUUGUGAUCAUUAUGUAGAAGAUUCUUGCUUAUUUGUCAGUUUAUUUUAUGACAUCUACACUUCUUUCUAGGCCUACUGAGACGGCCUAAGUGGGGGCAUUUAAAGGAUCUACAUCCAGCUAUAAAACUCUGUGAACCAGCACCUUUAGUUGUUGUUGACGAUGCGCCAGAAUAUAUAAAAUUGGGACAAAAGCAAGAGGUGGGCAACUAGCUACUGAUACUCGUUGAUGAUUAGUUCAUUAAAUUGUUCAUGCUAAAUACGGAAUAUCUAUUUAAUUCAGUUGGCAUUUUCUGGUAUCAUUUUCUUAGAACCAUAUGAGUAAUUCAGAUUUAUUUCCCAAACUAAAAUGAUCAUGAAAAGGCAUUCUAUUAAGCUUCUGAAAAUUUGUUUUCACUGGUAAGAAUGAUCUGUCAUCCUUCGAUGUGCUCCAUUAGAUAAAAGUUUUCUUAAUAUUUCUGACAUGGGUUUCUCUUAUCUUCUGAUUUUUCUACAAUUGAUUCAGAAUUUCCUUCUUACUUGAAUUGGGUUCUUAUUUUUCUUUCUUAAUGUUGUUCCCAUGUCCAAGUGGGGAAUGAUGCAAUGCCUGCUUUGAUUAGCUCACAUAACUUAUUUAGAUUAAUUCUUGCUUCCUACAACUGCCCCAUGUACCUACUAAAAAGCUAAAACUAUUCAUCUCUAAGAUUCUCGAAACAUCAAUUUUUGUUUCCUAGUGAUCUUCUUCUUUCCUAGAAAUGAAUACACUUCUUUUGUUCUUUUUUAUAUCUUCUAAUUUGAUAUUAACAUUGAGAUUUAUUUCAGGUUGAGUACAAUGACAGCCAAAAUGCAAGCAAGCAAGAUUCCCUACUUUCAAGUAUAGAAGUGGCAGAACAGCAGAUUCUGUUAUUCUCCACCUCGUAUUUUCUUUAUGAAAUCUCUUUUAGCAUAUCAUUUCUGAUAAAGAAUUCAAUUUGUCAAACACAUCUUUUCAACGUUAUAUCAUAUUGUUAUUGAUUUUUCCUUUGGGAGUUAACAUUGCUUGCUGCCCAAAACAUCUACACUGAACACUUGACACGCUAUCAACUCCCUGUAGCCUCAUCAAUGAUAUGUUGGAGCAGGUUCCUACCAACGUUUGUAGGAUGCACACGUGUAAUCAUGCACUCAAUCUUCUGUUACUUUUCUUUUAAAAAAACAAAAAACAAAAAACAAAAUUAAAGAGGAAUUUUUCUUUCUUCUAGGUUUUCCUUGUCCAAUCAAAAUUUUGGAUCUGAGAUUUUUGCUGGUAUGAAGUGUCCAGCCCAUUUGAGACAACUCAUAAAAGUCUCUUGAGCUGCUUUGGAACUUCUUGGAGUUUUAACUAUGCCUUCUUUUUGAGAUUUCUAAUUUUCUAUUAAAAACUCUAAAUUAGAACCCAUUGAUGAUUUACCUGUAACUAAUGAUGGAAGAAAUCAAUCAAAGAUGAGAGAGGAUACCUUUUAAAAUGAAAUAUCUUUUCUAGUGCCCCCAGGGAAAUAUUAUUCCCUUAUGUUUCUUUGAGUUUCUGUCCAGUUCCACCUCUUUCAUAAAAUGAAAAUCAAACCCAUUUUCUCCUAGGAAACAUGUUUCCUGCUUUGUAGAUGGUUUUCUGCAACUAAGGCACAGCCUCACUUCAUGCCUCUUUAAACUUUCAAGGACCGAACUUUUGAUCAGGAGAUACCAAUGUUGGCUUUCUUCAUGCCCAUUUUAAGUACAGAUGCUGAAUAUUUCUUUGAUUUCUUUGUUUUUUUUUCAAUAGUACUACUGUUGGUAGAUCUCAUGUAUGAUAUUAGGGAGAUUUUCUGCAACAAAUGAAUCCAUCAUUGGGAGACAAUCUACAGAAUCGGCUUUGGCCAAAUAUACCUGAGCAAACCUAUGAUGACGGAGUCGGAUGGAGAAACUGCAACUUUGUUCCCAAAGGCUGCAAGGCUGAGGAACCUGACUUCCUUACUCUGCACAACAUGGCCCGUGUUUUGGACAGUCCAGAUUGGUGGUAUGUAUGCUGCUUUACAGUAGGUGAGUUGCAGCAUGCAAAUGGCAUCAGGCCAGAUUUACCUGCAAUUGUUUUUUUUUUUUUUUUAAAACCCAGUGGUGAAAGUGGGCAGGAAAAACUGAAACAGCAAUACUUACAAUGGCUACGGAUUGUUGGUAACCAUAGGAUCUAUUGCUAUGGAUUUUAUUCAUAGCAUUUUCUCAUUUUCGCCCAAUGCAAUAAAUAACCGACGAUUUAGGGGCA